AGAGUUUGAUCAUGGCUCAGGAUGAACGCUGGCGGCGUGCCUAACACAUGCAAGUCGAACGGAGUUUAUGAAGUUUUCGGACGGAUUAAACUUAGUGGCGGACGGGUGAGUAACGCGUGGGUAACCUGCCUCAUACAGGGGGAUAACAGUUGGAAACGACUGCUAAAACCGCAUAAUACAGAACUGACGCAUGUCAGAUC
rnacentral:rRNA from 1 species